rnacentral:rRNA from 1 species
GACGAACGCUGGCGGCGUGCUUAACACAUGCAAGUCGAACGUGAUUUUUGUGGAGAUUCUUUCGGGAAUGGAAAUGAAAUGAAAGUGGCGAACGGGUGAGUAACACGUGAGCAACCUACCUUACACAGGGGGAUAGCCGUUGGAAACGACGAUUAAUACCGCAUGAGACCACAGAAUCGCAUGAUAUAGGGGUCAAAGAUUUAUCGGUGUAAGAAGGGCUCGCGUCUGAUUAGCUAGUUGGAAGGGUAAAGGCCUACCAAGGCGACGAUCAGUAGCCGGUCUGAGAGGAUGAACGGCCACAUUGGAACUGAGACACGGUCCAAACUCCUACGGGAGGCAGCAGUGGGGAAUAUUGCACAAUGGGGGGAACCCUGAUGCAGCGACGCCGCGUGAGCGAAGAAGGUUUUCGAAUCGUAAAGCUCUGUCCUAUGAGAAGAUAAUGACGGUAUCAUAGGAGGAAGCCCCGGCUAAAUACGUGCCAGCAGCCGCGGUAAUACGUAUGGGGCGAGCGUUGUCCGGAAUUAUUGGGCGUAAAGGGUACGUAGGCGGUUUUUUAAGUCAGGUGUGAAAGCGUGAGGCUUAACCUCAUUAAGCACUUGAAACUGGAAGACUUGAGUGAAGGAGAGGAAAGUGGAAUUCCUAGUGUAGCGGUGAAAUGCGUAGAUAUUAGGAGGAAUACCGGUGGCGAAGGCGACUUUCUGGACUUUUACUGACGCUCAGGUACGAAAGCGUGGGGAGCAAACAGG